rnacentral:rRNA from 1 species
AUUGAACGCUGGCGGCAGGCUUAAUACAUGCAAGUCGAGGGGCAGCACGGUUAGCAAUAACUGGUGGCGACCGGCGCACGGGUGCGUAACACGUAUACAAUCUACCUUAAACAGGGGGAUAGCCUUUCGAAAGAGAGAUUAAUACCCCGUAAUAAAUUGAACGGCAUCGUUUGAUUUUGAAAGCUCCGGCGGUUUGAGAUGAGUAUGCGUCUGAUUAGCUAGUUGGUGAGGUAACGGCUCACCAAGGCGACGAUCAGUAGGGGAUCUGAGAGGACUAACCCCCACACUGGUACUGAGACACGGACCAGACUCCUACGGGGGGCAGCAGUAAGGAAUAUUGGUCAAUGGAGGCAACUCUGAACCAGCCAUGCCGCGUGCAGGAUGACGGCCCUAUGGGUUGUAAACUGCUUUUAUACGAGAGAAAACCCUGGUACGUGUACCAGGUUGAUAGUAUUGUAAGAAUAAGCAUCGGCUAACUUCGUGCCAGCAGCCGCGGUAAU